UACGGAGGGUGCGAGCGUUGUCCGGAAUCACUGGGUGUAAAGGGCGCGUAGGCGGCCUGGUAAGUAGGGGGUGAAAUCCUGCGGCUUAACCGCAGGGCUGCCUUCUAAACUGUCAGGCUCGAGCACGGUAGAGGCAGAUGGAAUUCCCGGUGUAGCGGUGGAAUGCGUAGAGAUCGGGAAGAACAUCAGUGGCGAAGGCGGUCUGCUGGGCCGUUGCUGACGCUGAGGCGCGACAGCGUGGGGAGCAAACAGG
rnacentral:rRNA from 1 species